AACGAACGCUGGCGGCAUGCCUAACACAUGCAAGUCGAACGAUACCUUCGGGUCUAGUGGCGCACGGGUGCGUAACGCGUGGGAACCUGCCCUUAGGUUCGGAAUAACUCCCCGAAAGGGGUGCUAAUACCGGAUAAUGUCGUCUGACCAAAGAUUUAUCGCCUUUGGAUGGGCCCGCGUUGGAUUAGCUAGUUGGUAGGGUAAAAGCCUACCAAGGCGACGAUCCAUAGCUGGUCUGAGAGGAUGAUCAGCCACACUGGGACUGAGACACGGCCCAGACUCCUACGGGAGGCAGCAGUGGGGAAUAUUGGACAAUGGGCGAAAGCCUGAUCCAGCAAUGCCGCGUGAGUGAUGAAGGCCUUAGGGUUGUAAAGCUCUUUUACCCGGGAUGAUAAUGACAGUACCGGGAGAAUAAGCUCCGGCUAACUACGUG
rnacentral:rRNA from 1 species